AUGCAUCACCACAAAACACAGGUUAACACACAGCUCUCCUGUGACUCUAAUCCCCAGGGGGUAAAAAAAAGUCAAACUGGGGGAAAGAAACAAAAACAAACCUUGAAUGCCAAACCACAUCUGUUACCACAUAUUAGGAACCUAGCAUCUUACCUACCCACCUCUCUCCAUCUGCCAGGUCCCAGCUGUGAGCCAUGCCACCUCCCACAUGCAGUCAGCAGGNACCCUGAUCUGAAGGUGUCAGUGAUGUAGUUUGGUUUCAGAGCUGAAAUUAUGGAGUGAGGAAUAGCGUCUCACUGCCAAGGGAAGAUUUAAAGGUGAGAUGAAGCUCAAGGCCAGGAAUUUGAUGUGUCCUGUUCUGCCAACACAAGGGGGGAUAGGUACUGCUUUAAUCCUGCGGCUGCUCAACCUGACUCCAAGAAGCAGGCUGGGCUAACAAGCUGCAUGCCUGCAGAAAGCAUCAGAAAACUGCUCGGAGCCCUGAAGCAAAAGUGAGGCUGCUUGCGUUUAUAUUAGAACUUGCUCUUGAACUGUGGUGCCCUUGGCCACUGCCAAGUUUCACAUUACUCAGUACACAAAGAAGAGGAACCACUGGACUCAGUACAGGUUCUGAGUACCUGGUGCUUGUGUGAGCAGCACAAAAGGCAGGUUCCAGCUAGAAUUUCCAGACACUUGAAAUUCAAGGUUACCUGGUUUAUCCUGAGGCAGGCCAGAGGCUCCUAGAGCAGGUAGAGACACCGCUAACCCAGGGGGUGUUUGCGAGUGCAGCUUCGGAGAGUGCAUUUUUUCACCCUGGUGGUUCUAGAACACAGGUCUACUCUCCAACUUCAAAAUGGCUGGGCUGACCAAGAACUUCAGGUGAAGGGCCAUCCUGCAGCGAUGGUAAAGAACUCAGGGGCUUGAGAUUUCUAGCAACUUCUGUGCCUCCCUUCAUCCUAAAAGGAUUAGUACCAGACAGGGGAAAAAAAAGGAAGUAGAAAGAACUCCAAGGUCAAACUGGAAAUUUAAUUACUUGAUGCAGUUCUGACCCCAUCUUCAUCUGGACCCUGGUUACCCUGAUCCAUGAGCCUUCUUCCAGUAGAAGCAAUACUGACUUCUGUGAGCAAGUGCUUAUGUUGGCGGCUUCAUCAUAUUUCAAAGCUUUGGUUAAACAGAUCUGUUAUCUUUGUGUAAACAUGUUGCCAUCUGACCACAAUGGCAGCCUUUUAAGGUUGUGAAUGAUCACAUAGUUUUUAAAGCUGGGGUUCACUCUUCACUGCCCUUUUUAACACUGAAGCACCCCAGGGCCCCCUCCAUGCAGAACCAGUCUUGAUUCAAAGCCAGCAGAGUCAACUGUAACUAUCAGCUCACAGGUAACAGGAGCUAGUUACACUAAGAAGUGGCUUCUAUUCGCCUUGUCCACAACAGGGAUACCAACUAAGCCCUGGGUUUCAGUCACACUUGAUCUGCUUUCUAGAGGACCAAGACAUCACAUUCCAGAACAACAACAAGAACAAAAAAACCCUGAAAAGAUAAUCUUUAGAAAAAGGUAAACCACUCCUUUUCUACUAAACAUUAUUGUAACUUCAUUGCUUCAAGCAAGGAGAAAACAAUCACUCAGGGCUUGGGAUUCUUAUGGCCACAGGAAAACAUCAAAAUCAGGAGUAUGGAUUUGAUUAAAUCACUUAAGAAACCAAGCUGGCUGGCACUAUGGCAUUUCUCUGCCCUUGAUACCCUAAAGUGAUGCUUUCUAAGAGAUCCCACAAAAAGUCUCAAAACACAAAGUCCGUUAUCUAAACCUACUGGGAAAGCAACAGUGGCCUAGAACUCUCCCAUUUACUAAGCUUGCUUCAGACUAGAGAAUAACACUGUUUUCCUUCUAAAGUGCGAGUAUAAACAAGUACAGUCAAUCUACCAGCAUAAGGAAGAUUCUUUUUCAUUCUCUCAAUUCUUCCCAAAUACACCAGAAAUAAUCCUCUCGAGGUGCCUUGGGGGCUCGCACGCACACGAGGCCCCACCAGUGGAAGGAGUGUCCACCUCCCAUGCAGCACAGGGACAGCAGGUGCGAGUCUAAAGCAAUUUCAAACCAGGUUCUGAGUACCUGGUGCUUGUGUGAGCAGCACAGUCCACACACGUGCGGAACGCUCCACAGGUCACUCGGAUCUACUGACGUUCCUGUGUUCACCUGCUGUCCAAAAAGCCUGGAGAAGGAAACCACUAUUUUUUGAAAAGAAAACAAAAACAAAAAUCAGCCAGAGUACUCCAGAAAAAAACAGCCAGUCAUACUUGGAAUGUGACCAGAAUGGGUUUCCAAUUAAAACAUGGGAAGCCCCUCAUGUCAGUUACUGCAAUGACUCUAGACUCGGCACCAUCCUUCGUCUUGGGAAGAGCAAAACAAAAGCGAUGAGCUGAUAAGCAGGGGCAAGUGUCAUUCAACAAGAAUUCCUUAUUUAAGAAAAGAAAGAUUGAACAUUCACGUUUCCUAUUUACAAUCACCCCCCACCACCACCACAAUUCUACUUAACGUUAUGUUGCAUAUUUUAUUUUGUUUUUCAAGUUACAUUUCAAGAAAAGGUCAUUUUUUUUUUCUCUCAGCAAUACCUCACAAUUCCUCGAGAUAGCAUAGCAUCUAAACCAUAAACCAUAUCCAACCAGAUCAUAAAUUCUCCAGCUAUCGGCUUUGGUUUAUUGAGACAAAUCCUCAGCUCUGCUGACAGAGAAUAAACAUAAGCAAUUUAGCCCCUUGAACA
ensembl:lncRNA